AGUGAACGCUGGCGGUAGGCUUAACACAUGCAAGUCGAACGGCAGCACAGUAAGAGCUUGCUCUGACGGGUGGCGAGUGGCGGACGGGUGAGGAAAACAACGGAAUCUAGUUUUUCGUGGGGGAUAACGUAGGGAAACUUAAGCUAAGACCGCAGACGACGUACGGGGGAAAGGAGGGGAACGUCGGACCUGGCGGGAUUGGAUGAGCGGAUGUCGGAUUAGCUGGUGGGGGGGGUAAAGGCCCACCAAGGCGACGAUCCGUAGCUGGUCUGAGAGGAUGGUCAGCGACAUUGGAACUUAGACACGGUCCUGACGCCUACGAUAGGCAGCAGUGUCGAACAUUGGACAAUGGGCGCAAGCCUGAUCCAGCCAUCCCGCGUGUGUGAAGAAGGCCUUCGGGUUGUAAAGCCCUUUUGUUGGUUAAGAAACGCUUCCGCUUAAUACCCCGCUGUUCUGACGGUACCCAAAGAAUAAGCACCGGCUAACUUCGUG
rnacentral:rRNA from 1 species